rnacentral:tRNA from 1 species
GGGCCUAUGGCGCAAUUGGUAGCGCGUAGUAAGUUCCACUUGCAUUCCAACAGACUGCAAAAACAUCCUUCUAACAGAUUGAAAUAGCGACUCCAGAUCGUAAGGUUGUCCGAUCGAGCCGGGCUGGGCUCA